UAAGCAUUUGUUGUUAUUGUUUGUUUUAGAUUUCCUUACGUUUCUGAUAUGGUCCAUAUAUUUAUACCCAGCCAUGCCGGAGCUAUUACGCUCAGUGAAGUUAGCUGUAGAGAAGGGGCAAGCACAAGGUCGUGAUGAGUCCUAUGUCAAGCAGCUAUCGGAUUACAUAAUUCUUGCUCUAGUUGAAGCUUUACACAAGGAGCCCGAGACCGAGAUUUGUGCGAGCAUGUUGGAUUCAUUGAAUGAAUGUAUACAGGUUUGUAAUUUCUUUUGUUGCAUUAUGCAUUUUAUUUAGAACAUGAACUCUGAAGCAUACUGAUCCAUUUUGUGCUUGUGCUUUCUUAUUGAAUUAUUUAAUGAUUCUUACUUGUGGUGUGUGUGUGUGUGUGU